CCUACGGGGGGCAGCAGUGGGGAAUAUUGCACAAUGGGGGGAACCUUGAUGCAGCAACGCCGCGUGGGUGAAGAAGUACUCCGGUAUGUAAAGCCCUGUCAGCAGGGAAGAAAAUGACGGUACCUGACCAAGAAGCCCCGGCUAACUACGUGCCAGCAGCCGCGGUAAUACGUAGGGGGCAAGCGUUAUCCGGAUUUACUGGGUGUAAAGGGAGCGUAGACGGCAAGGCAAGGCUGGAGUGAAAGCCCGAGGCCCAACCACGGGACUGCUUUGGAAACUGUGUUGCUGGAGUGCAGGAGGGGUAAGCGGAAUUCCUAGUGUAGCGGUGGAAUGCGUAGAUAUUAGGAGGAACACCAGUGGCGAAGGCGGCUUACUGGACUGUAACUGACGUUGAGGCUCGAAGGCGUGGGGAGCAAACAGGAUUAGAUACCCGAGUAGUC
rnacentral:rRNA from 1 species